UACAGAGGGGGCAAGCGUUAUUCGGAAUUAUUGGGCGUAAAGGGCGCGUAGGCGGCUUGGCAAGUGGAUGGUGAAAUCCCUCGGCUUAACCGAGGAACUGCCAUCCAGACUGCUUUGCUUGAGGCCGGGAGAGGUGAGUGGAAUUCCCGGUGUAGUGGUGGAAUGCGUAGAUAUCGGGAGGAACACCAGUGGCGAAGGCGGUUACCUGGGGCUUUGCUGACGCUGAUGCGCGAAAGCGUGGGGAGCGAUCCGG
rnacentral:rRNA from 1 species